GAUUGGCUCUUGGGAAAAAAAAGUGUUUCUAUAUAUAUAUACGGCGAUAAGAAAUGUCAUAGCCUCAAUUUGAAAUGGAAUAACAUUAUAAAUGGAAUAUAUUUCGUGAUCUCAUACAGUUAUUAACUAAUCACAGUAGAAGUAAUACGAUCAAAAUGAGAGUGAAAUUAUUUACGUUUCUGUUCUUUGUAGCUAGUGUUUUAGCUAUUUGCUUUGCAUCAGGUGGCGUCGACGAUCGGUGUAAUGCCAAAGUGGAGACGGGCAGUUGUAAGUUGGAAGAAUCAAAAUAUAUUUUCAAUAAACUCCUGCAAAGAUGUCAACGCAAAGUUUUGGGUGACUGCGCUGGUGAUGAAGAUGCAUUCGAUGAUGAGGCUGCGUGUGAAAGAGCUUGUUUGAAAGACCUUGCUUGAAAACAUGAUUGUCAAAUGUUGCAAUAUUUCUAAUGCUGUGUAAUUUUGUUAAAUAAUAAAAAUGAGCCUAAUUUUGGAGAAACUG